rnacentral:rRNA from 1 species
UAGGGAAUCUUCCACAAUGGGCGCAAGCCUGAUGGAGCAACACCGCGUGAGUGAAGAAGGGUUUCGGCUCGUAAAGCUCUGUUGUUAAAGAAGAACACGUAUGAGAGUAACUGUUCAUACGUUGACGGUAUUUAACCAGAAAGUCACGGCUAACUACGUGCCAGCAGCCGCGGUAAUACGUAGGUGGCAAGCGUUAUCCGGAUUUAUUGGGCGUAAAGAGGGUGCAGGCGGUUUUCUAAGUCUGAUGUGAAAGCCUUCGGCUUAACCGGAGAAGUGCAUCGGAAACUGGAUAACUUGAGUGCAGAAGAGGGUAGUGGAACUCCAUGUGUAGCGGUGGAAUGCGUAGAUAUAUGGAAGAACACCAGUGGCGAAGGCGGCUACCUGGUCUGCAACUGACGCUGAGACUCGAAAGCAUGGGUAGCGAACAGGAUUAGAUACCCUGGUAGUCCAUGCCGUAAACGAUGAGUGCUAGGUGUUGGAGGGUUUCCGCCCUUCAGUGCCGGAGCUAACGCAUUAAGCACUCCGCCUGGGGAGUACGACCGCAAGGUUG